rnacentral:rRNA from 1 species
UACGAAGGGGGCUAGCGUUGCUCGGAAUCACUGGGCGUAAAGCGCACGUAGGCGGCUUCUUAAGUCAGGGGUGAAAUCCUGGAGCUCAACUCCAGAACUGCCUUUGAUACUGAGAGGCUCGAGUCCGGGAGAGGUGAGUGGAACUCCGAGUGUAGAGGUGAAAUUCGUAGAUAUUCGCAAGAACACCAGUGGCGAAGGCGGCUCACUGGCCCGAUACUGACGCUGAGGCACGAAAGCGUGGGGAGCAAACAGG